ACCUCCAACCCAUUGUUGUCCGACUCUGUUGCCUCGGGGGCGACCCGGCGCUUCGGCGCCAGGGGGUCCCCGCUGGUCCACACAACUCUGCAUCUUUGCGUCUGAGUAAACAUUAAAUGAAACAAAACUUUCAACAACGGAUCUCUUGGUUCUGGCAUCGAUGAAGAACGCAGCGAAAUGCGAUAAGUAAUGUGAAUUGCAGAAUUCAGUGAAUCAUCGAAUCUUUGAACGCACAUUGCGCCCCCUGGCAUUCCGGGGGGCAUGCCUGUUCGAGCGUCAUUACACCACUCAAGCCUGGCUUGGUAUUGGAGGUCGCGGUCCGCCGCGCCUCCUAAUGUCGCCGGCCGAGUCGUCUGUCUCCGAGCGUUGUGAAUCUUCAAUUCGCUUUCGAGUACAGGCGGCGCGCGCCGUUAAACCUCUUUUUCAGGUUGACCUCGGAUCAGGUAGGGAUACCCGCUGAACUUAAGCAUAUCAAUAAGCGGAGGAAAAGAAACCAACAGGGAUUGCCCUAGUAACGGCGAGUGAAGCGGCAACAGCUCAAAUUUGAAAUCUGGCGCAAGCCCGAGUUGUAAUUUGUAGAGGAUGCUUCUGGGCAGCGGCUGGUCUAAGUUCCUUGGAACAGGACGUCAUAGAGGGUGAGAAUCCCGUAUGCGACCAGCUGGCACCCGUCACGUAGCUCCUUCGACGAGUCGAGUUGUUUGG
rnacentral:misc_RNA from 1 species